GUGAGGAAUUUUGCGCAAUGGGCGAAAGCCUGACGCAGCAACGCCGCGUGGACGAUGAAGGUCUUCGGAUCGUAAAGUCCUGUCGAGCGGGAAGAAGAGUGCGACUCCUAAUACGAGGCGCCCUUGACUGUACCGCCAGAGGAAGCCCCGGCUAACUCCGUGCCAGCAGCCGCGGUAAUACGGAGGGGGCCAGCGUUGUUCGGAAUUAUUGGGCGUAAAGGGCGCGUAGGCGGCCGGACAAGUCUGACGUGAAAUCCCUCGGCCCAACCGAGGAACUGCGUUUGAAACUGUCCGGCUUGAGUCCGGGAGAGGGUAGUGGAAUUCCCAGUGUAGCGGUGAAAUGCGUAGAUAUUGGGAGGAACACCGGUGGCGAAGGCGGCUACCUGGACCGGCACUGACGCUGAGGCGCGAAAGCCAGGGGAGCAAACAGGAUUAGAUACCCGGGUAGUCC
rnacentral:rRNA from 1 species